rnacentral:lncRNA from 1 species
UUCUCUCUUUUUGUGUUUCUCAGUGUUGCAGAGAGGAAGGGAGAGAAUAAAAUGUCUCUGAGUAAUUUGGCCACAGUGUUUGGCCCCAGCCUUUUGCGCCCUCCAGUGGCUCGUGUCGACAUAUCUCAAGAAGUGGAGGUUCAGGUUCAGGUGAUUUUUCUCUAUCUGCAGUAUCAGAACCUUCCAGAAGCUCUUCUCACAAAACAUCAGGACAUUGAUGAUCUAGAGACAUGAGCCUUCAACAACCAGACUCCUUUUCUGUCUCCGUGUCCAUGGUCAUAUCUGUACAUUUGUAAAAAUUGUUUAACUUGCUUUAUUUUACAGAUGAAUAAAACAAAAUAUUCUAUUUUAAGGUUUUUAUUGUCAUUAAAAAUGACAUGACCACGAG